AGGAGUUCCGAUCUCGGUGCAGCAGUGUCACAGGCGUCAUGCAAAAGAAGGUUCCAUCUAACAACCAGAAAACCCAGCCAAGAAGGCGGCACGCAAGCGCACCCAGUCACGUGCAGCCCUCAGACUCGGAGAAGAACCGCACCAUGCUCUUCCAGGUCGGCCGCUUUGAGAUUAACCUCAUCAGUCCAGACACUAAGUCAGUCGUGCUCGA
rnacentral:lncRNA from 1 species